GACGAACGCUGGCGGCAUGCCUAACACAUGCAAGUCGAACGAGACCUUCGGGCCUAGUGGCGCACGGCGGCGUACCGCCUGGGGACUUGCACUUAAGUACGGUAUAAUUCCCUUAAAGGGGUCUUAAGACCGGUUAAGCUCUUCCGACCAAGGAUCUGGCGCUGGGGGAUGGGCUCGCGGCGGUUUAGCUGGUUGGUGGGGUAGCGGCCUACCAUGGCGAUGAUGGGUAGCUGGUCUGAGAGGAUGACCGGACACACUGGGACGGAGAUAAGGCCGAGACGACUACGGGAUGCAGCAGUGGGGAAUAGUGCACAAUGGGCGGAAGGCGGAUGCAGCAACGCCGCGUGCGGGAUGACGGCCGUCGGGUUGUAAACCGCUUGCGCCUGUGACGAAGCGUGAGUGACGGUAAUGGGUAAAGAAGCACCGGCUAACUACGUG
rnacentral:rRNA from 1 species